rnacentral:ncRNA from 1 species
UUCAGAUAUGCGAUGUUAGAGAUACCAAGGUUAUCUACAGAUUUCAAGCUCAUCUUUGCUAUCCUAUAUAGAAAAGUAUUACAGACAUAAGAUGUUAUAAAUAUCUGUAGAUAAGAGACUUAUGAGGUAUUAGACAUGAGAAUUCAAAACGAAAUGGGAAGGGGCUGUUGGUGGAUUGGCCCAGCUAUGGUCGCGAGGCCAAUUCGGCAGGCAAUGAACAACCAACUUAGAACUGGCAGUGACUAGGGGAAUCCGACUGUUUAAUUAAAACAAAGCAUUGCGAUGGCCGGAAACGGUGUUGACGCAAUGUGAUUUCUGCCCAGUGCUCUGAAUGUCAAAGUGAAGAAAUUAUUGUUAGUAAACACUGUCACAGAGGAUGGCCACUUCCGGAGUGCUUAUUGCGUCCCCAGUGGUUCUUUUUCGAUUCAGGUUUGUGUAGUGCAACUUGAAGAGACGGGGUCUCC